GGACUUAUAGCUCAGUUGGUUAGAGCGUGGUGCUAAUAUGAAAAAUCAUGUAACGCCAAGGUCGUAGGUAAGAUUUCACAGAUCCAGACACAGAUACCUUCCGAUUCCAAUCGAACAAAUUAGCUAACAGAGUUCCCGCAGGUUCGAGCCCUACUUGGUCCA
rnacentral:tRNA from 1 species